rfam:Picea glauca, whole genome shotgun sequence.
ACAUGCCUACAUUAUAGCGUUAAUGCAUUGGAUCCCAUUAGAACUCCGUAGUUAAGCGCGCUUAGGCUAGAGUAGUACUGGGAUGGGUGAUCGCCCGAGGAGUCCUAGUGUUUUACAUGCU